GACGAACGCUGGCGGCGUGCUUAACACAUGCAAGUCGAACGGAAAGGCCCUGCUUUUGUGGGGUGCUCGAGUGGCGAACGGGUGAGUGACACGUGAGUAACCUGCCCUUGACUUUGGGAUAACUUCAGGAAACUGGGGCUAAUACCGGAUAGGAGCUCCUGCUGCAUGGUGGGGGUUGGAAAGUUUCGGCGGUUGGGGAUGGACUCGCGGCUUAUCAGCUUGUUGGUGGGGUAGUGGCUUACCGAGGCUUUGACGGGUAGCCGGCCUGAGAGGGUGACCGGCCACAUUGGGACUGAGAUACGGCCCAGACUCCUACGGGAGGCAGCAGUGGGGAAUAUUGCACAAUGGGCGGAAGCCUGAUGCAGCAACGCCGCGUGCGGGAUGACGGCCUUCGGGUUGUAAACCGCUUUCGCCUGUGACGAAGCGUGAGUGACGGUAAUGGGUAAAGAAGCACCGGCUAACUACGUG
rnacentral:rRNA from 1 species